rnacentral:tRNA from 1 species
GGCCCUAUAGCUCAAUUGGAUAGAGCACCGCCCUCCUAAGGCGGGGGUUGGCGGUUCAAUUCCGUCUAGGGUCA